GUCUAUGGCCUUACCACCCUAAACACACCCAGUCUUAUCUGAUCUUGGAAGCUAAGCAGGGGUGGGCCUGGUUAGUACUUGGAUGGGAGCCCACUUGGAAAUAUUGGGUGCUGUAGGCU
rnacentral:rRNA from 1 species